GGGCGGCUAGCUCAGCUGGAAGAGCAUCUCGUUUACACCGAGAGGGUCGGCGGUUCGAACCCGUCGCCGCCCACCA
rnacentral:tRNA from 1 species